rnacentral:lncRNA from 1 species
AUAGCUUAUAACAGAUAUAUCAUAUCAUAUAUAUGCAUAGACAGGUACAAUGUCUACCAGCAACAAGGGUGGUAGCAGCGGUGACAACGGACAACAAAACCGGCAACAACAUUGCAGUAUCCUGCAUAGAUAGGUUUUUAUUACUGCAAAAUUGAUCCCGGCAGCGCUACCGGUAGUUGCGGUAGAUAGGAUUGUACAUGCAGGUCUCUGCAUAUUGCACCAGGUCUCUGGGCGCAGGCAGACGGGUCGCCAAACCUGCAGAGGAAAGUUUGAGACUUUGGAGGCGAAUGGAAAGAUUUGGAGGUCUACUCAGGGAAACGGAAGCAGAACAGAAAACUUUGGAAAUGUAUCUACAGAAGGAAAGGAGGGUGAAGCGUACCGAGCUCAUAGGCUUUUGCAGCCACGGCGGCAGCAAUGUGAGCGGAGAUCUUUCUGAUGCUGCUGAAGGGCGGGAAGAUCGAUCCCUUCUCAAAGUUCUCCUGAUUGGCCUGAUCAGCUAGUGCUUCCGCUGUUUAAAUGAUUACAGCCAUGAGAUUGCUUCACAUCAAACCCUCCCUAGUUUCCCAUUUGGAUACAUAAUUAACAUUUACAUAUGUUCAUUGACUCCAUUAAGAAGGUACUUACAGGCAGCAAGAAGCAUGUCCUCAUGGACACGGGUGGCUCCAGCCAUAAUCAGACCAAGGCCAAGGCCAGGGAAAAUGUAAGCAUUGUUUGCCUGUCAUGAGUAGCGCAAUUGAGUUAGUAAUGAACUUGUGCUUUCAAAUAGCAGGUGCUUAGAUCAGUAAGGUUGUGUUGCCUCGGAGAAGUAUUAGAUAAAAGAACUACCUGCCCAGGUACAAAAGUCUUCCCAUCGUACUCAACAGGGUUAAAUGGACUACCACUGGCAAAUACAGCACGCCCC